UACGGAGGGGGCUAGCGUUGUUCGGAAUUACUGGGCGUAAAGCGCGCGUAGGCGGUUUUUUAAGUCAGAGGUGAAAGCCCGGAGCUCAACUCCGGAAUUGCCUUUGAGACUGGGAGACUUGAAUCCAGGAGAGGUGAGUGGAAUUCCGAGUGUAGAGGUGAAAUUCGUAGAUAUUCGGAAGAACACCAGUGGCGAAGGCGGCUCACUGGACUGGUAUUGACGCUGAGGUGCGAAAGCGUGGGGAGCAAACAGG
rnacentral:rRNA from 1 species